rnacentral:sRNA from 1 species
UUUUAUUUUUGUUUUUUUCUAUCAAUCUAACCACUUGUUAUCAGUAUUCUGAAAUGCAGUUGGUUGAUGUGGUCUAAAAAGUAGAAGAUGCUUCCAAAUAUGGAAAAAAACAAUGUUUGGAAUUAUAUUAAAACAGUAACACUAAAUUUUCUAAGUAGAAACGUACGAAAAUUACUUUUUACUGUAUAAAUAGAGCUGUCAAAUGGUCCGUCCAAAGAUCAUUGGGCGUGUCCGUACAGACAGUUUUUUUUAUGGGCCAAGUUGGACGGUCCAUAAUGGACAAUGGUCUGAAAAUGUCCAUGCCCAAUAAAGACCAUGUCCAUAAUGAUCAGCCCAUUUUAUUAUUGUUAUUAUUGAUAAAUCAAAAAUCAUGAUUUUAAAGAAAAAUUCAAAAAUUGUAUUUUUCCGCAAAAAUUGUAAAAAUCGGAGACUUGCAUUUUUCCGACAAAACGGUAAAAUUGUGUUUUUCUUACCAAUACAAUAAAAUCACGAUUUUGGCGGAAAAAUUAUGGAAUUGCGUUUUCCCGCCAAAACCGUAAAAUUAGAGAAUUGCGUUUUUCCGUGAAAACCGUAAAAUUAGAGAAUUGCGUUUUUCCGUCAAAAUUAUAAAAUCGGAGAAUUGUAUUUUUCCCGUCAAAACCGUAAUCGAAAAUUUGCGUAUUCCAAAAAAUUGUGGAAUACUAUUUUUCCUUCAAAACCGUAAAUAAUUUAAUAAGAAAUAAUUUAUUAAAAU